CCUACGGGAGGCAGCAGUGAGGAAUAUUGGUCAAUGGGCGCUAGCCUGAACCAGCCAAGUAGCGUGAAGGAUGACUGCCCUAUGGGUUGUAAACUUCUUUUAUAUGGGAAUAAAGUGCAGUACGUGUACUGCUUUGUAUGUACCUUAUGAAUAAGGAUCGGCUAACUCCGUGCCUGCAGCCGCGGUAAUACGUAGGGUGCAAGCGUUAUCCGGAUUUAUUGGGUGUAAAGGGAGCGUAGACGGCAGUUUAAGUCUGGAGUGAAAUUCCGUGGCUUAACCAUAGAACUGCUUUGGAAACUGGGAGGCUGGAGUACAGUAGAGGUAGGCGGAAUGCGUGGUGUAGCGGUGAAAUGCGUAGAUAUUACGAAGAACACCGAUGGCGAAGGCAGCUUACUGGACUGUAACUGACGCUGAGGCUCGAAAGCGUGGGGAGCAAACAGGAUUAGAUACCCCUGUAGUC
rnacentral:rRNA from 1 species